GGCACGCCUAACACAUGCAAGUCGAGCGAGGUAGCAAUACCUAGCGGCAGACGGGUGAGUAACAUGUGGGAAUCUGCCUUUUGGUUCGGAACAACACGGGGAAACCUGUGCUAAUACCGGAUAAGCCCUUACGGGGAAAGUUUUAAUGCCAAAAGAUGAGCCCGCACUCGAUUAGCUAGUUGGUAAGGUAAUGGCUUACCAAGGCAACGAUCAAUAGCUGUUCUGAGAGGAUGAUCAGCCACACUGGGACUGAGACACGGCCCAGACUCC
rnacentral:rRNA from 1 species